UACGUAGGGGGCAAGCGUUGUCCGGAUUUAUUGGGCGUAAAGAGCGUGUAGGCGGCCAGGUAGGUCCGUUGUGAAAACUGGAGGCUUAACCUCCAGCUGUCGAUGGAAACCAUCUGGCUAGAGUCCGGAAGAGGAGAGUGGAAUUCCCGGUGUAGCGGUGAAAUGCGCAGAUAUCGGGAAGAACACCCGUGGCGAAGGCGGCUCUCUGGGACGGUACUGACGCUGAGACGCGAAAGCGUGGGGAGCGAACAGG
rnacentral:rRNA from 1 species